UGCUAUGUGGCUUAGUUGGUUGAAGCACCGGACUAGUGAUAGGGGGUCGUGGGUUUGAAUCCCACCAAAAUAA
rnacentral:tRNA from 1 species